rnacentral:rRNA from 1 species
CCUACGGGAGGCAGCAGUGGGGAAUAUUGCACAAUGGGGGAAACCCUGAUGCAGCGACGCCGCGUGAGUGAAGAAGUAUUUCGGUAUGUAAAGCUCUAUCAGCAGGGAAGAAAAUGACGGUACCUGACCAAGAAGCCCCGGCUAACUACGUGCCAGCAGCCGCGGUAAUACGUAGGGGGCAAGCGUUAUCCGGAUUUACUGGGUGUAAAGGGAGCGUAGACGGGAGCACAAGUCUGGAGUGAAAUGCCGGGGCUUAACCCCGGAACUGCUUUGGAAACUGGGCAGCUUGAGUGCAGGAGAGGUAAGUGGAAUGCGUGGUGUAGCGGUGAAAUGCGUAGAGAGUAGGAGGAACACCAGUGGCGAAGGCGGCUUACUGGACUGUAACUGACGUUGAGGCUCGAAAGCGUGGGGAGCAAACAGGAUUAGAUACCCCUGUAGUC